rnacentral:ncRNA from 1 species
UGAUCAACACGGGGAAACUUACCAGGACCAGAUGUUUUUUAUGACUGACAGGCUUCGGGUCUUUCAGGAUAUUGUUUUUGGUGGUGCAUGGCCGUUGGUGGUGCGUGGGUUGACCUGUCUAGCGUUGAUUCAGCUAACGAGCGAGAUUAUCGCCAAUUAUUUACUUUGCCGAAGUCCUUCGGUUAAAGUUCUAAUUGGGACUCCCUGCGAUUUUAGCAGGUGGAAGAGGGUAGCAAUAACAGGUCCGUGAUGCCCUUUAGAUGCUCUGGGCUGCACGCGUGCUACAAUGUUAGGAUCAAUAGGACUGCGAGCCUGAGAGGGUGCGCUACUCUUAUAAUCCCUAACGUAGUUGGGAUUGACGUUUGUAAUCAGCGUCAUGAACCAGGAAUCCCUUGUAAAUGUGUGUCAACAACGCACGUUGAAUACGUCCCUGCCCUUUGUACACACCGCCCGUCGCUCCUACCGAUUGGAUGACUCGGUGAAAUCACCGGAUGCUUACGAGCAGAAAGUGAUUAAAUCACGUUAUCUAGAGGAAGGAGAAGUCGUAACAAGGUAACGGUAGGUGAACCUGCCGUUGGAUCAGUU